GGCUGGGGCUCAGUGGUAGAGCACUUGCCUAGCAUAUGUGAGGCACUGAGUUCGAUUCUCAGCACCACUUA
rnacentral:tRNA from 1 species